UGUUAGUGGAAGCGUCUGGAAAGUCGCGCAGCAAAGGGUGAUAGCCCCGUACACUAAAAUGCACAGGUCGUGAGUUCGAUGAGUAGGGCGGGACACGUGACAUCCUGUCUGAAUAUGGGGGGACCAUCCUCCAAGGCUAAAUACUCCUGACUGACCGAUAGUGAACCAGUACCGUGAGGGAAAGGCGAAAAGAACCCCGGCGAGGGGAGUGAAAUAGAACCUGAAACCGUGUACGUACAAGCAGUGGGAGCACCUUCGUGGUGUGACUGCGUACCUUUUGUAUAAUGGGUCAGCGACUUAUAUUUUGUAGCAAGGUUAACCGUAUAGGGGAGCCGUAGGGAAACCGAGUCUUAACUGGGCGAUUAGUUGCAAGGUAUAGACCCGAAACCCGGUGAUCUAGCCAUGGGCAGGUUGAAGGUUGGGUAACACUAACUGGAGGACCGAACCGACUAAUGUUGAAAAAUUAGCGGAUGACUUGUGGCUGGGGGUGAAAGGCCAAUCAAACCGGGAGAUAGCUGGUUCUCCCCGAAAGCUAUUUAGGUAGCGCCUCGUGAACUCAUCUUCGGGGGUAGAGCACUGUUUCGGCUAGGGGGCCAUCCCGGCUUACCAAACCGAUGCAAACUCCGAAUACCGAAGAAUGUUAUCACGGGAGACACACGGCGGGUGCUAACGUCCGUCGUGAAGAGGGAAACAACCCAGACCGCCAGCUAAGGUCCCAAAGUCAUGGUUAAGUGGGAAACGAUGUGGGAAGGCAUAGACAGCCAGGAUGUUGGCUUAGAAGCAGCCAUCAUUUAAAGAAAGCGUAAUAGCUCACUGGUCGAGUCGGCCUGCGCGGAAGAUGUAACGGGGCUAAACCAUGCACCGAAGCUGCGGCAGCGACGCUUAGGCGUUGUUGGGUAGGGGAGCGUUCUGUAAGCCGUUGAAGGUGGCCUGUGAGGGUUGCUGGAGGUAUCAGAAGUGCGAAUGCUGACAUAAGUAACGAUAAAGCGGGUGAAAAGCCCGCUCGCCGGAAGACCAAGGGUUCCUGUCCAACGUUAAUCGGGGCAGGGUGAGUCGACCCCUAAGGCGAGGCUGAAAAGCGUAGUCGAUGGGAAACAGGUUAAUAUUCCUGUACUUGGUGUUACUGCGAAGGGGGGACGGAGAAGGCUAGGCUGGCCGGGCGACGGUUGUCCCGGUUUAAGCGUGUAGGGGGUGUGACCUGGUAAAUCCGGUUGCAUAUCAACCCUGAGGCGUGAUGACGAUGCACUACGGUGCAGAAGUAGUUGAUGCCCUGCUUCCAGGAAAAUCCUCUAAGCUCCAGGUAACAUUAAAUCGUACCCCAAACCGACACAGGUGGUCAGGUAGAGAAUACCAAGGCGCUUGAGAGAACUCGGGUGAAGGAACUAGGCAAAAUGGUGCCGUAACUUCGGGAGAAGGCACGCUGGCAUGUAGGUGAAGUCCCUNGCGGAUGGAGCUGAAGCCAGUCGAAGAUACCAGCUGGCUGCAACUGUUUAAUAAAAACACAGCACUGUGCAAACACGAAAGUGGACGUAUACGGUGUGACGCCUGCCCGGUGCUGGAAGGUUAAUUGAUGGGGUCAGCCGCAAGGCGAAGCUCUUGAUCGAAGCCCCAGUAAACGGCGGCCGUAACUAUAACGGUCCUAAGGUAGCGAAAUUCCUUGUCGGGUAAGUUCCGACCUGCACGAAUGGCGUAAUGAUGGCCAGGCUGUCUCCACCCGAGACUCAGUGAAAUUGAACUCGCUGUGAAGAUGCAGUGUACCCGCGGCAAGACGGAAAGACCCCGUGAACCUUUACUAUAGCUUGACACUGAACAUUGAGCCUUGAUGUGUAGGAUAGGUGGGAGGCUUUGAAGCGUGGACGCCAGUCUGCGUGGAGCCAUCCUUGAAAUACCACCCUUUAAUGUUUGAUGUUCUAACUCGGCCCC
rnacentral:rRNA from 1 species